CGUUCCCGGGCCUUGUACACGCCGCCCGUCACGUCACGAAAGUCGGCAACACCCGAAGCCGGUGGCCCAACCCUUGUGGAGGGAGCCGUCGAAGGUGGGGCUGGCGAUUGGGACG
rnacentral:rRNA from 1 species